rnacentral:rRNA from 1 species
GAUGAACGCUGGCGGCGUGCUUAACACAUGCAAGUCGAACGAAGCACUUUAUUUGAUUUCCUUCGGGACUGAUUAUUUUGUGACUGAGUGGCGGACGGGUGAGUAACGCGUGGGUAACCUGCCUUGUACAGGGGGAUAACAGUUGGAGACGGCUGCUAAUACCGCAUAAGCGCACGGCAUCGCAUGAUGCAGUGUGAAAAACUCCGGUGGUAUAAGAUGGACCCGCGUUGGAUUAGCUAGUUGGUGAGGUAACGGCCCACCAAGGCGACGAUCCAUAGCCGACCUGAGAGGGUGACCGGCCACAUUGGGACUGAGACACGGCCCAAACUCCUACGGGAGGCAGCAGUGGGGAAUAUUGCACAAUGGGCGAAAGCCUGAUGCAGCGACGCCGCGUGAGCGAAGAAGUAUUUCGGUAUGUAAAGCUCUAUCAGCAGGGAAGAUAAUGACGGUACCUGACUAAGAAGCACCGGCUAAAUACGUG